rnacentral:rRNA from 1 species
AGUGAACGCUGGCGGCAGGCCUAAUACAUGCAAGUCGAACGGCAGCACAGUGGAGCUUGCUCCAUGGGUGGCGAGUGGCGGACGGGUGAGGAAUACAUGGGAAUCUGCCCAGUCGUGGGGGAUAACGUAGGGAAACUUACGCUAAUACCGCAUGCGCCCUUCGGGGGAAAGCCGGGGACCGUAAGGCCUGGCGCGAUUGGAUGAGCCCAUGUUCGAUUAGCUAGUUGGCGGGGUAAAGGCCCACCAAGGCGACGAUCGAUAGCUGGUCUGAGAGGAUGAUCAGCCACACUGGAACUGAGACACGGUCCAGACUCCUACGGGAGGCAGCAGUAGGGAAUAUUGGACAAUGGGGGCAACCCUGAUCCAGCCAUGCCGCGUGAGUGAAGAAGGCCCUCGGGUUGUAAAGCUCUUUUGUCCGGAAAGAAAAGCAAUCGGUUAAUACCCGGUUGUUCUGACGGUACCGGAAGAAUAAGCACCGGCUAACUUCGUGCCAGCAGCCGAC